CCUAACCAAAUUAACUAACCGGCUAACAAAAGCUCAACUAUUUUAAUAUUCCCCCGCAAGCUGGAUUGUAUCAAGCAUUCCAAGCUUCAAAUAAUUGUGUUGAAUACGAUAAUAUACUCUAAUACCUCCUCUUGCUAGUGAGCGAAUCUUCGUCUCCCAGUCUUGAAAUCUGAACGUGAAGCAGUACUGACGCUUAACCACCAUUUGACAGAAGCAAUUUCAUCAGAUGCUUAACCAUCUAUUUGACAGAAGCAAACCAAUC
rnacentral:lncRNA from 1 species